CACCCAUAAUUUUUUUAGCCGCCUCACCCUUCUCAGUUCUCCCUCAAUUUUCUCUCACUCUUCAAUGUUAUUCUUGCAUGAUCUCUGCCCCCUUCACUCUGCUUUUCUUGAGUUCUUCCAACUAAUCCUCCAUUUCUCCUCACAAUCAACUUCUUCAAUCAUCCCUUCCUCUCUAAACAGCUCUUCUUCAAUCCUCACACUUGGUAGCAUUGUCUCCAUAUCUCAUCUCCAACAUAUCGAAAUCAAUGAUAGGAGACGUUCAAAGGACCACCAGAUCACAUCACCAUCAGCUAGAAGAACCACCAUAGUCGACAUCUCCAGUCCAGAUCGCAUCAUGUCUCCAGUCAAAAUCCACAUGCAUAGGCAAACUUGAUUCUUGCAGACGCCGAGACACACAUCCACAAGGAUGCCAAGACCCAAGCGGCUAGCAGCUCUAUUUUAUUCCUUUGUGAUUGCUAAAAUUGUGUUGGCUAUGAGUCUUAGUUUGUUUCUUAGACAAAAAUUGUGAUGUUAUUUUGUUGUGACUCUACCAUGUGGAAUUUUGUUUUCAUGUAUCUGCAAAAUAUUUGUGAGCUUUGUAUGGAUUGCUGGGUAGAUGUAGCACAUUUGGGAAUUCUUUUCCUUUUUUGUUUUUCAAAGAGAAUUAAAAA
rnacentral:misc_RNA from 1 species